rnacentral:rRNA from 1 species
UACGUAGGGUCCGAGCGUUGUCCGGAAUUAUUGGGCGUAAAGAGCUCGUAGGCGGUUUGUCGCGUCUGCUGUGAAAUCCCGAGGCUCAACCUCGGGUCUGCAGUGGGUACGGGCAGACUGGAGUGCGGUAGGGGAGAAUGGAAUUCCUGGUGUAGCGGUGGAAUGCGUAGAUAUCAGGAGGAACACCGAUGGCGAAGGCAGCUCGCUGGGACGGUACUGACGCUGAGGCGCGAAAGCGUGGGGAGCGAACAGG